CCUUCGAUAGCUCAGUUGGUAGAGCGGAGGACUGUAGACAUUGAAUGUGGUCAUCCUUAGGUCGCUGGUUCGAAUCCGGCUCGAAGGA
rnacentral:tRNA from 1 species